GGGGGCUGGCAGUUUUGGAUGCUAGCCUGUGGGAAGUGACCAGCAGAAAGGCAGGGUGAGGCCAUUCUAGGCAGAGGGAGCAGCACGCUGGGCUGACACAGGGCCCUCCAAUAAAUGUGGAAGACAGAAUGGACAGGUGAGAACCUUGGGACAAAAAUCUUUCAUAAAGCUGUUGCAGUGAUCCAGAGCCCCGAACAGAGUUGGUAGUUUGAUCCUAAUCAUACUGAUGAGGAACUUCUAAAAAGAUUCUCAGAAUCACAUGAAAGAAAUCAUAGGCUCUCUCUGACAGAGGCACA